UAAUCUCCACUAGUUAUAUUCUCUCUGCCUUUUCGUGAAAGAAUGUGUGCGUAUAUAACAUAUCAAACCCUGCAUUCCAACGCCCAAUAUUACAAGUUCUGUUUUUCAACAAAUAUUUUGGGUUAAGAGUUUUGUUCUUGAAUUGAAGAGAUGAGUGAGAUUAAAUAUGGCUAUCCAUAUCCUGCUCAAGGCCCUUAUCAAGGACCACCUCCGGUGGCCGCACCUCCGCCAUACUAUGCUGCUGCUCCACCACCUAAAAGAGAACCAGGUUUUCUUGAGGGAUGCCUAGCAGCUUUGUGUUGCUGUUGCCUCUUGGACGAGUGUUGCUGUGACCCAACUAUUAUUUUUGCUACCUAAUGCACUUCACCAAACUGGGAAAUUUUACGCUAUUAAUUGUUGUAACUAUAUACUUGUAUUUGAAAAUUGUCAUUGUAUGAGUAUGUAACCAAUAUUUGCUAUUAUUAUUAUAUGGUAACUAUUGUUUUAACUGAAAUGAAAAUUCCCUUUGUUAUCUC